rnacentral:rRNA from 1 species
AUUGAACGCUGGCGGCAGGCCUAACACAUGCAAGUCGAACGGUAGCACAGAGAGCUUGCUCUCGGGUGACGAGUGGCGGACGGGUGAGUAAUGUCUGGGAAACUGCCUGAUGGAGGGGGAUAACUACUGGAAACGGUAGCUAAUACCGCAUAACGUCGCAAGACCAAAGAGGGGGACCUUCGGGCCUCUUGCCAUCAGAUGUGCCCAGAUGGGAUUAGCUAGUAGGUGGGGUAACGGCUCACCUAGGCGACGAUCCCUAGCUGGUCUGAGAGGAUGACCAGCCACACUGGAACUGAGACCCGGUCCAGACUCCGACGGGAGGCAGCAGUGGGGAAUAUUGCACAAUGGGCGCAAGCCUGAUGCAGCCAUGCCGCGUGUAUGAAGAAGGCCUUCGGGUUGUAAAGUACUUUCAGCGGGGAGGAAGGGAGUAAGGUUAAUAACCUUAUUCAUUGACGUUACCCGCAGAAGAAGCACCGGCUAACUCCGUGCCAGCCGCCGCCGUAA